AUUGAACGCUGGCGGCAUGCCUUACACAUGCAAGUCGAACGGCAGCGGGGACUUCGGUCCGCCGGCGAGUGGCGAACGGGUGAGUAAUAUAUCGGAACGUACCUUUCAGUGGGGGAUAACGUAGCGAAAGUUACGCUAAUACCGCAUAUUCUGUGAGCAGGAAAGCAGGGGAUCUUCGGACCUUGCGCUGAUUGAGCGGCCGAUAUCAGAUUAGCUAGUUGGUGAGGUAAAGGCUCACCAAGGCGACGAUCUGUAGCGGGUCUGAGAGGAUGAUCCGCCACACUGGAACUGAGACACGGUCCAGACUCCUACGGGAGGCAGCAGUGGGGAAUUUUGGACAAUGGGGGCAACCCUGAUCCAGCCAUGCCGCGUGAGUGAAGAAGGCCUUCGGGUUGUAAAGCUCUUUCGGCCGGGAAGAAAUCGCACGGGUUGAUACCCCGUGUGGAUGACGGUACCGGAAUAAGAAGCACCGGCUAACUACGUGCCAGCAGCCGCAGUAACAC
rnacentral:rRNA from 1 species